rnacentral:rRNA from 1 species
UUACCGAAUUCAGACAAACUCCGAAUGCCAAUUAAUUUAACUUGGGAGUCAGAACAUGGGUGAUAAGGUCCGUGUUCGAAAGGGAAACAGCCCAGACCACCAGCUAAGGUCCCAAAAUAUAUGUUAAGUGGAAAAGGAUGUGGCGUUGCCCAGACAACUAGGAUGUUGGCUUAGAAGCAGCCAUCAUUUAAAGAGUGCGUAAUAGCUCACUAGUCGAGUGACACUGCGCCGAAAAUGUACCGGGGCUAAACAUAUUACCGAAGCUGUGGAUUGUCCUUUGGACAAUGGUAGGAGAGCGUUCUAAGGGCGUUGAAGCAUGAUCGUAAGGACAUGUGGAGCGCUUAGAAGUGAGAAUGCCGGUGUGAGUAGCGAAAGACGGGUGAGAAUCCCGUCCACCGAUUGACUAAGGUUUCCAGAGGAAGGCUCGUCCGCUCUGGGUUAGUCGGGUCCUAAGCUGAGGCCGACAGGCGUAGGCGAUGGAUAACAGGUUGAUAUUCCUGUACCACCUAUAAUCGUUUUAAUCGAUGGGGGGACGCAGUAGGAUAGGCGAAGCGUGCGAUUGGAUUGCACGUCUAAGCAGUAAGGCUGAGUAUUAGGCAAAUCCGGUACUCAUUAAGGCUGAGCUGUGAUGGGGAGAAGACAUUGUGUCUUCGAGUCGUUGAUUUCACACUGCCGAGAAAAGCCUCUAGAUAGAAAAUAGGUGCCCGUACCGCAAACCGACACAGGUAGUCAAGAUGAGAAUUCUAAGGUGAGCGAGCGAACUCUCGUUAAGGAACUCGGCAAAAUGACCCCGUAACUUCGGGAGAAGGGGUGCUCUUUAGGGUUAACGCCCAGAAGAGCCGCAGUGAAUAGGCCCAAGCGACUGUUUAUCAAAAACACAGGUCUCUGCUAAACCGUAAGGUGAUGUAUAGGGGCUGACGCCUGCCCGGUGCUGGAAGGUUAAGAGGAGUGGUUAGCUUCUGCGAAGCUACGAAUCGAAGCCCCAGUAAACGGCGGCCGUAACUAUAACGGUCCUAAGGUAGCGAAAUUCCUUGUCGGGUAAGUUCCGACCCGCACGAAAGGCGUAACGAUUUGGGCACUGUCUCAACGAGAGACUCGGUGAAAUCAUAGUACCUGUGAAGAUGCAGGUUACCCGCGACAGGACGGAAAGACCCCGUGGAGCUUUACUGUAGCCUGAUAUUGAAAUUCGGCACAGCUUGUACAGGAUAGGUAGGAGCCUUUGAAACGUGAGCGCUAGCUUACGUGGAGGCGCUGGUGGGAUACUACCCUAGCUGUGUUGGCUUUCUAACCCGCACCACUUAUCGUGGUGGGAGACAGUGUCAGGCGGGCAGUUUGACU